rnacentral:rRNA from 1 species
UACAGGGGGUGCAAACGUUGCUCGGAAUCAUUGGGCGUAAAGCGCACGUAGGCGGUUCGUUAUGUCGGAUGUGAAAGCCCUUGGCUUAACCGAGGAAGUGCACCCGAAACUGGCGAGCUAGAGUACUAAAGAGGGUCGCGGAAUUCCCGGUGUAGAGGUGAAAUUCGUAGAUAUCGGGAGGAACACCGGUGGCGAAGGCGGCGACCUGGGUAGAUACUGACGCUGAGGCGCGAAAGCGUGGGGAGCAAACAGG